GACAGAGGUGCCAAGCGUUAGGCGGAAUCACUGGGCUUAGAGCGUGUGUAGGCGGAUGCCUAAGUACCUUGUGAAAUCCCACGGCUCAACCGUGGAACUGCUUGGUAUACUGGGUGUCUUGAGCCAUCUAGGGGCUACCGGAACAAAUGGUGGAGCGGUGAAAUGCGUAGAUAUCAUUUGGAACGCCAAUGGUGAAAACAGGUAGCUGGGGAUGUGCUGACGCUGAGACACGAAAGCCAGGGGAGCAAACGGG
rnacentral:rRNA from 1 species